GACGAACGCUGGCGGCGUGCCUAAUACAUGCAAGUCGAACGCAGUGGGGACGGGUGAGUAACACGUGGGUAACCUCCCAUCAGAGGGGAUAACACUUGGAAACAGGUGCUAAACCGAUACUGAUGGAUGGACCCGCGGUGCAUUAGCUCGUUGGGGAGGUAACGGCUCACCAAGGCCACGAUGCAUAGCCGGCCUGGGUGGGAGAUCGGCCACACUGGGACAGAGGAACGGCCCAGAAUCCUACGGGAGGCAGCAGUAGGGAAACUUCGGCAAUGGACGAAAAUCUGACCGAACAACGCCGCGGUGGUGAAAAAGGUUUUCGGAUCGUAAAGCUCUGUUGUUAGAGAAGCGGUAACUAACCAGAAAGGGACGGCUAACUACGUGCCAGCCGCCGCGGUAAUAC
rnacentral:rRNA from 1 species